AAUUAUUGGGCGUAAAGCGCGCGCCGGUCUUUUAUAAAUUGUGAUUAGAAAGCCCAGCGUUCUACCGGGGGGGGGUCAUUGAAAAUUGGGAGACUUGAGUCCAUAAGGGGAUAGUGGCAUUCCAAGUGUAGCGUUGAAAUGUGUAGAGAUUUGGAGGCACACCAGUGGCGAAGGUGACUAUCUGGUCUGUAACUGACACUGAGGCGCGAAAGCGUGGGGAGCAAACAGGAUUAGAUACCGUGGUAGUCCACGCCGUAAACGAUGAGUGCUACGUGUUAGGUGGUAUCCGCCCCUUAGUGAUGCAGGUAACGCAUUAAGCACUCAGCCUGGGGAGUACGGUCGCAAGACUGAAACUCAAAGGAAUUGACGGGGGCCCGCACAAGCGGUGGAGCAUGUGGUUUAAUUAGAAGCAACGCGAAGAACCUUACCAGGUCUUGACAUCCCGUUGACCACUGUAGAGAUAUGGUUUCCCCUUCGGGGGCAACGCUGACAGGUGGUGCAUGUUGUCGUCAGCUCGUGUCGUGAGAUGUUGGGUUAAGUCCCGCAACGAGCGCAACCCUUGAUAUUAGUUGCCAUCAUUUAGUUGGGCACUCUAAGGUGACUCCCGGUGACAAACCGGAGGAAGGUGGGGAUGACGUCAAAUCAUCAUGCCCCUUAUGACUUGGGCUACACACGUGCUACAAUGGACGAUACAAACGGUUGCCAACUCGCGAGAGGGAGGUAAUCCGAUAAAGUCGUUCUCAGUUCGGAUUGUAGGGUGCAACUCGCCCACAUGAAGCCGGAAUCGUUAGUAAUCGCGGAUCAUCAUG
rnacentral:rRNA from 1 species